rnacentral:rRNA from 1 species
UACGGAGGGUGCAAGCGUUGCUCGGAAUUAUUGGGCGUAAAGGGUAGGUAGGUGGUCUCGUUUGUCUGGGGUGAAAGCCUUGAGCUUAACUCAAGAAGUGCCCCAGAAACGGCGAGACUCGAGUUCUGGAGAGGGUCGUGGAAUUCCCGGUGUAGCGGUGAAAUGCGUAGAGAUCGGGAGGAACACCAGAGGCGAAGGCGGCGACCUGGACAGAUACUGACACUCAACUACGAAAGCGUGGGGAGCAAACAGG